rnacentral:rRNA from 1 species
AACGGAGGGUGCAAGCGUUGUUCGGAAUUACUGGGCGUAAAGCGCGUGCAGGUGGUCUUUUAAGUUUCGUGUGAAAUCCCUUGGCUUAACCGAGGAACGGCACGGAAAACUGAAAGACUUGAGGAUGGGAGAAGAGGGCGGAAUUCCCAGUGUAGAGGUGAAAUUCGUAGAUAUUGGGAGGAACACCGGUGGCGAAAGCGGCUCUCUAGACCAUUACUGACACUCAUACGCGAGAGCGCGGGGAGCAAACAGG